UUAUGACCUGGGCUACAAACGUGAUACAAUGGCUGGAACAAGGGGAGGCGAAGGGUGACCUGGAGCGAAACUCAAAAAAACAGUCUCAGUUCGGAUUGAAGUCUGCAACUCGACUUCAUGAAGUCGGAAUCGCUAGUAAUCGCGGAUCAGAACGCCGCGGUGAAUACGUUCUCGGGUUU
rnacentral:rRNA from 1 species